GGCUCUGUGGUGUAGUGGUAGUAGCACAUGACCCCGGUAUGGACGGAACGCCGGUUCGGUGCCCGGCUGGGGCCG